CUCUUUUCGCGGCGUUCUCCACCUGCGCGGGCCUGAAUGGCCUUCAGGAGCACAGUCGGCCUGAGGAGUUGACGGUUACUCACCGCCGUGAGCCCAAGUAACUCGCCCUCCUUCGGCUAGAAACCCUCCGCCUGGGCCCGCGCGACAGGAGCGCGGUCUCUGAGGGGAGCGGCGACCCCGCCAGCCCCGGUCUCUUUCCCUGGCGGCGGCGGCUUCUUCCGUGGGACAAUAUGUUCAAGAGAAUGGCCGAAUUUGGGCCUGACUCCGGCGGGAGAGUAAAGGGUGUUACUAUCGUUAAACCAAUAGUUUACGGUAAUGUUGCUCGGUAUUUUGGAAAGAAAAGAGAAGAAGAUGGGCACACUCAUCAGUGGACAGUAUAUGUGAAACCAUAUAGAAAUGAGGAUAUGUCAGCAUAUGUGAAGAAAAUCCAGUUUAAAUUACAUGAAAGCUAUGGCAAUCCUUUAAGAGUUGUUACUAAACCUCCAUAUGAAAUUACUGAAACAGGAUGGGGUGAAUUCGAAAUAAUCAUCAAAAUAUUUUUCAUUGACCCUAAUGAAAGACCUGUAACCCUGUAUCAUUUGCUAAAGCUGUUUCAAUCAGACACCAAUGCAAUGCUGGGGAAAAAGACAGUGGUUUCAGAGUUCUAUGAUGAAAUGAUAUUUCAAGACCCAACAGCAAUGAUGCAACAAUUAUUGACAACAUCUCGUCAGCUAACAUUAGGAGCCUAUAAGCAUGAAACAGAAUAAUCAAGAAUGAUUGAGAAUAGGAACGGCUCAAGACGUUCACAACUAAGGCCAUGAAUAGCUAGGAAUUCCCUUUAAGAGCAAAGGUUUUAUCAUCAGACAGACCUACUUGCAGGGAUUAGCAUAUAUUGAGGCUGGGAAUUGUUUGCCAUAUCCCUAUUUCCUGGAUAGCUACUGUGAAGUCCUGCAGUGUUGUCACUUUCUUAAUUGGACUUGUGAAGGGCCCAGAAAACUCCGUGCAGGAUAUUGUGAACCAUAGCACUGAGAAUGUCAUGAUGCAGAUGGAAGCUCCUGAUACCAGUGGUCCAGUAGUGUAUUCUAAGUACAAAUACUUUUUGUCUUUUUUUUUUUUUUUUUUUUUUUUUUUUUUUGAGAUGGACUUUUGCUCUUGUUGCCCAGGCUGGAGUGCAAUGGUGCAAUCUCAGCUCACCACAACCUCUGCCUCCCAGGUUCAAGCAAUUCUCCUGCCUCAGCCCCCUGAGUAGCUGGGAUUACAGGCAUGUGCCACCACGCCUGGCUGAUUUUGUAUUUUUAGUAGAGACAGGGUUUCUCCAUGUUGGUCAGGCUGGUCUCGAACUCCCGACCUCAGGUGAUCCGCCCACCUUGGCCUCCCAAAGUGUUGGGAUUACAGGCGUGAGCCACUGUGCCUGGCCACUUUUUGUCUUAACAAUGGUUCUCACUGAUUAUUAUGAGUUACGGAUUGUUAUGUUAACCACUGGGGUGGUGGGCUGAAUCGGAAGAGAACUAUCAAGAGUGUCUUAUGUGGAGAGGAUCUUGAGUUUUACAAUCUUCUGGGAAAACUACUCCUGGGAGAUACUGUUGGGCAUUACAAGAUCAUCGGAGUCAUCAAAGAUCCUUCGAACUUACUAGUGACCCUUGAAAAGUUGAGACUAAGGAGAGUGUUGAUCUAGUGCUAGUAACAUCUUACAUUUCUUUAGAUUUGAUACUAAUUUCUCAUUUUUAUAGAUGAGUGAAUUCAGUGUGGAUGACGGGAGAGAGAUUGUAAUGGUAUAAAUGCUUUGCUUGCUGUAGGUUGAGUAUAGCUUGCCAAAUGGGAGGUGUUAACACUUGUAAAUUUGUAGAUCAGAAAUUAUUGGGAAAUAAAGGAUGUGCGCAUGUGCGUGCGUGUGUGUGUGCAUGCAUGUGUUUGAAGUUUUUGAUACAUGUUGCCAGGUUGCCCUGUGAAAAGUUUACUCCAGUUUGCCCUGGCACCAGCAGGCUGUGAGGAUGCCCAUUUCCUCAGACAAAUUUCUCCAGUCAAGAGGCACCUUCCAGAGAAUUGUAUCAUGGUGAUACAAUUGAUGAUCCCCCAGCCUAUGGCCCAAGUAGUCUCCAGAACUGCAGGCUUGAGGCAGCUCAUCGCUCCAGCCUGAGUAGAUUCCUUGUCCAUCAAUGUGAAGUUAAAACUACAGACUAGACCUUUCAAUAUGCUCUCAUUCCUCUCACAGCUAUUUUUGGAGCAUCUAUUGUGUGUCAGGGGCCUUUUCCUGUCUUAGAGCUCGCCCAUCAAAAAUAGUGAGACUCACAGUUACACAUCAUUAGAAAUGCCAUAAUAUUUAGAAACUACUUAGGUCUUAGAGAACCCCAGUUUCAGAUUCUGUGAACUUGAGUAGGUUACUGGAUUUCGCUGAGGCUCGGUUUUCUCUUGUUUACAAUCGAGAUUUUAAUAUAUAUAUCAGACGGCUGACUUACACUGCCUGGCAUAUCUAGACACUGUAGAUAUUAGCAUAGGGAUUAACAGUGUAGGCUUUGGAGUCAAGUUACUUGGUUUGAAUCGUGGCUCCGUUGCACACUGGCUUUGUGAUCACAGGCAAGUUAUUCAACCUCUCUGUGCCUUACUUUCCUCAUGUUUAAAGUAGUCAUAAUCAUACUUGCAUCAUGGUGUUAUUCAGAAGAUCAACUGAGAGACGUAUGUAAAGUAUUUAGCAUAGGACUUAGAACCUAGUUAAUGCUCAAUUAAUAUGUUAUUUUUGGCCAGGUGUGGUGGCUUACGCCUAUAAUCCCAGCACUUUGGGAGACUGAGGUGGGCGGAUCCCUUGAGGCUAGGAGUUGGAGACCAGCCUGGCCAACAUGACGAAACCCCGCCUCUACCAAAAAUACAAAAAUUAGCCAGCCAUGGUGGUGCACACUUGUAGUCCCAGCUACUCGGGAGGCUGAGGCAGGAGAAUCGCUUGAACUCGGGAGGCAGAGGUUGCAGUGAGCCGAGAUUGUGCCACUGUACUCCAGCCUGGGCAACAGAGUGAGACUCUGUUUAAAAAAAAAAAAAGAUAUAUAUAUAUAUUAACAUGCUUCUUAUUGAGGUAUAAUUUACAUACUGUUAUGGACUGAAUUGUGUUCCCUCCAAAAUACAUAUGUUGAAGUCCUAAACCCCAGUAUCUCAGAAAAUAACUGUGUUUGGACAUAACAUCUAAACAUCUUUAGCAUGCAUGUGUGUAUCUAUAUGUAAUUAAAAUUAGGUCAUUAGGGUGGGCUUUAAUCCAAUAUGACUGGUGUCCUUACAAAAAUAGAAAUUUGAACACAGCCACAUACAGGAGGAAUAUGAUGUGAAGACAAAGGGAGAAGACAGCCAUCUAUAAGCUAAGGACAUGGACCUGGAACACAUCCUUCCCUCCCAGCCCUCAGACAGAACCAACUCUGUAGAUCAACCAACACCUUGACUUUCAGCCUCCAGAACUGUAAGAAAACUUUUCCUGUUUAAGCCACCCAGUCUGUGAAACUAUAUUAUGGCAGCCCUAGCAAACUAACACACAAACCAUAAAAUUCACUCACGUUAGCAUAUAAUUCAAUGGUUUUUAGUAAAUUUGCAGAGUUGUGCAACCACUACCACAAUCUGAUUUUAGAGUAUUUUUGUCUCCUCUAAAGAAGCCUUUUUGCCAUUUGCAGUCACUCCCUACUCCCACUUUCAGCUCCAGGCAACCACUCAUCUUCUUUGUACCUCAAUAGAUUUGCCUUUUCUGGGCUUUUCAUAUAAAUCAUCUCCACUGAAUAGGAAAUUCUAUAUAUUAAGAGUCAGCUCAUUCUAUAUUCUUCUCAGCUUCUUAUUAAAACUUCUUAUAAUGAGCCCAAAUCUACUGCCUUGUAACUUAUUCUACACAGUUAACAUAUUCCUAUCAUAGUUUAUUUUUAACAGAGGUCAGGCAAAAAUUAUUAUAUGUGCCACAUAAUUGUUGGAGUGAGGAUGGAAAUAUUUAGUCAAAAUGACCAUUGUCAUCAUAAUUUAAGAAAUAACCACUUUAUUUUUAGCAGUCGAUAAGGAAAAAGAUUGACAAAAGAAACUAUAAGCAAGCAUGCUGUUUUGAGUCGCCGGAGGAUAGAGACGGCCCAAGAAGAAUUUCAAGAGAACUGCUAAUGAGAAACCUUCCGUGGUGAGACUUGAACUGACAAGCUAUUCCCCCAGGCUCCUCGGGAACAUCUCAUAACUAAUCGGGACAUUCCAUCAAGACCACAUGCACAGGGCCACAGCCUAGACAGCAGAGCAUCCAAACCGCCAAAGAAAAUGUUGAGGCUGCACCAAUAAGGGACUUUGUGCAAUGCCUCUUUUAUUGAAAAAAUCUAUUUAAAUGAAAUCUUUCUAGGACAUUAUGUCAAAACUGCAACUGGAAACGUCUGCUUUUCUCACCUGGAAGAAUUGCCCCUAUUAAACCAUAGUAACUAUAAACAGUAAUUAUGUAUAGCUGUGCAUAAGCAUGCAAGUGUGUAUCUAUAGGUAACCAUUUAUUUAACAAUAUAUAUUAAGCACCUUGUGUGUACCAAGUA